GAAAUACGAUAAGUAGUGUGAAUUGCAGAAUUCAGUGAAUCAUCGAAUCUUUGAACGCACAUUGCGCCCCUUGGUAUUCCAUGGGGCAUGCCUGUUCGAGCGUCAUUUGUACCCUCAAGCUCUGCUUGGUGUUGGGUGUUUGUCCCCGUCUCCGCGCGUGGACUCGCCCCAAAGUGAUUGGCAGCCGGCGUACUGGUCCCGGAGCGCAGCACAUGUCGCGCAAACGAGUGCCUUGGUACGGCGGCGUCCAUAAGCCCCUCUCUCACGCUCUUGACCUCGGAUCAGGUAGGGAUACCCGCUGAACUUAAGC
rnacentral:misc_RNA from 1 species